rnacentral:rRNA from 1 species
UAGGGAAUCUUCCGCAAUGGACGAAAGUCUGACGGAGCAACGCCGCGUGAGUGAUGAAGGUUUUCGGAUCGUAAAACUCUGUUGUUAGGGAAGAACAAGUACCGUUCAAAUAGGGCGGUACCUUGACGGUACCUAACCAGAAAGCCACGGCUAACUACGUGCCAGCAGCCGCGGUAAUACGUAGGUGGCAAGCGUUGUCCGGAAUUAUUGGGCGUAAAGCGCGCGCAGGUGGUUUCUUAAGUCUGAUGUGAAAGCCCACGGCUCAACCGUGGAGGGUCAUUGGAAACUGGGGAACUUGAGUGCAGAAGAGGAAAGUGGAAUUCCAAGUGUAGCGGUGAAAUGCGUAGAUAUUUGGAGGAACACCAGUGGCGAAGGCGACUUUCUGGUCUGUAACUGACACUGAGGCGCGAAAGCGUGGGGAGCAAACAGGAUUAGAUACCCUGGUAGUCCACGCCGUAAACGAUGAGUGCUAAGUGUUAGAGGGUUUCCGCCCUUUAGUGCUGCAGCUAACGCUAA